GGCUGCUGUCUCACCGGGAGGAGGCCCUGGGUGGCUCUGCGGUGAGGAGGUAAGUCUGACCUUGGCCUCGCUGUCUCAGUGUGACCUGAACCUAUUGGCUUAACCAUGGGAGUUCCAGGGUGCUGGCUGUCAGGUGGUGGCACUCGUCCCAGAGUGUAAGGUUGAAGUGAGAACAUAGGAAGCCGGGUUGAGAUGUUUCGGUUAUCACACACAUGCAAAGGGCUGGGCCGCGCACCUCUUCCUCCUGAGCGCGUGGUUCUCGCUUCUCCAGCCUGAGGUCUGAUCCUUUCCCUGGCUCCUUGUUACUCUGUCCCCAGCCUUACUGGCCUUCCUUUAGACUGUAGAAUGAACUGUGCUCUUUCCUUCCUUGGUCCCCUGUUCCUGCACUGCCCUUCUAUCCUCUGUAUGUCUGGCCGGGAGAGCUCAGCCCAGGCACCCCUCCUCAGGGCAGCCCUUGGUGAUCCUCCAAAUGGGCCAACUCUUCUUUGUAGCCACAUGAGCCAAAGCACGCCUUCCUCACUGUGCUCACCUCCACUGCCGUUUACAUGCAUUUGUACGUCCCCUGUCUCAUGGGGGCAUGUCCUGAGGACAGUCAGGCAGCCCUACCACAAGGCUCCCCAGGAGGAACUGAACCCUUAGCUGGUUCCCACCCACAGCCAUGUGACUGAGCCACCUUGAAGAGUAUCCUCCAGCUGUGUCAAGCCCUCAGAUGGCUGCAGCUGGAGGUAUUGGGCCAGAGCCACCCAGCCAAGCCACUCCACCUCCUGACCCUGGGACUCAAGAGCCAAUAUGUGAUGACUGCUGCUUCCAGCAGUAGGUUUGGGGUAUUUGUUACACCAAAUAGACAACUAGUGCAGAUCCAGGUGCCUGGAAGUGGGGUGCUACCAUGACAAAUGUGGGGGUGGCUUUGGGACUGGACAUGGGCAGAGCUGGAGGGAAAGGCGUUUGAAAACUUAAAGGGAGUGUUUUAGUCAGCUGUUUUUUGCUGCUGUGACUUAAAGACCUGAGCAGAACAAUUAUAGAGGAAGAAAGGUUUAUUUAGGAGCCCACGGUUUCAGAGGUCUAAAUCCAUAGACAGCAGGCUCCCUUCCUCAGGGCUCGAGGUNUAAGGUUGAAGUGAGAACAUAGGAAGCCGGGUUGAGAUGUUUCGGUUAUCACACACAUGCAAAGGGCUGGGCCGCGCACCUCUUCCUCCUGAGCGCGUGGUUCUCGCUUCUCCAGCCUGAGGUCUGAUCCUUUCCCUGGCUCCUUGUUACUCUGUCCCCAGCCUUACUGGCCUUCCUUUAGACUGUAGAAUGAACUGUGCUCUUUCCUUCCUUGGUCCCCUGUUCCUGCACUGCCCUUCUAUCCUCUGUAUGUCUGGCCGGGAGAGCUCAGCCCAGAGCUCAGCCCAGGCACCCCUCCUCAGGGCAGCCCUUGGUGAUCCUCCAAAUGGGCCAACUCUUCUUUGUAGCCACAUGAGCCAAAGCACGCCUUCCUCACUGUGCUCACCUCCACUGCCGUUUACAUGCAUUUGUACGUCCCCUGUCUCAUGGGGGCAUGUCCUGAGGACAGUCAGGCAGCCCUACCACAAGGCUCCCCAGGAGGAACUGAACCCUUAGCUGGUUCCCACCCACAGCCAUGUGACUGAGCCACCUUGAAGAGUAUCCUCCAGCUGUGUCAAGCCCUCAGAUGGCUGCAGCUGGAGGUAUUGGGCCAGAGCCACCCAGCCAAGCCACUCCACCUCCUGACCCUGGGACUCAAGAGCCAAUAUGUGAUGACUGCUGCUUCCAGCAGUAGGUUUGGGGUAUUUGUUACACCAAAUAGACAACUAGUGCAGAUCCAGGUGCCUGGAAGUGGGGUGCUACCAUGACAAAUGUGGGGGUGGCUUUGGGACUGGACAUGGGCAGAGCUGGAGGGAAAGGCGUUUGAAAACUUAAAGGGAGUGUUUUAGUCAGCUGUUUUUUGCUGCUGUGACUUAAAGACCUGAGCAGAACAAUUAUAGAGGAAGAAAGGUUUAUUUAGGAGCCCACGGUUUCAGAGGUCUAAAUCCAUAGACAGCAGGCUCCCUUCCUCAGGGCUCGAGGUGAGGCAGAAUAUCAUGGCAGAGGGAAACAGCUCACAUGUUGAUCAGGAAGCAGAGAAGGUCUCCCAUCGUCAGAGACAAGUAUAUACCCCAAAGCGACGCCACCAGUGAACCACUUCCUCCAGCCACACCUCACCUGCCUCCAGUUACCACCCAGUUAAUCCCAUCAGGGGGGGGUCAAUACACUGAUUAGGUUAAGGAUGUAACCCAGCCAUUUCUCCUUCAAACCUUCUUGCAUUGUCUCACAUGUGAGCUUUUGGAGGACACCACAUCUAAACCAUAGCAGGGAGUUCAAGAGACUCUGAUGACCUCCUUGAACAUCAGUAAGAACAGAAAAGAAAGUGAGGACAUGUUAUUGGAAAAUGGAGGACAAAGGUUCUUUAGUAUGCUAUCAUAAAAAGUUCAGCAGUGCUGCCACUUGUAACCUGGAACCCAGAGCAUGCUCCUAAUGAACUGGUGACCAGGCGUGGAGUUUCAGGCAGUGUUGGAGUAUCAUUACUGGGAAAUAGUGGGACUGGAUUCUAACCAAGGAACUGUGGACAUCAGCUCUGCUGGAUUUCAGAAUUGCUGUGGACCAGGACUCCUGCAGACCUCCUGUUUCCCCCCUUUUUGAGCAAGGAGAGGGAAUCCAGAACAACUAUCCCACCAUCAAUUCCUAUCCCACCAUGGAAGCUGGGUGUGUGGGGUGCAGGUGAUUUGCCUCUUAAGCUGGGAGUCCUCAGUUUGAGAGAAACUAUCCUCAAGGCACCGCAGGCCCAUUGCUACCCCCAGAUGUGAUUUGGAUGAUGAGACCCUGAACCUGCAGCGUAUGUGGUUGGGAGCCAUCUUGGGAGCUUUGGAAGCCUCAGGAGUGCGGUAAUUGUAAUGUUGAAGGGAUGUAAGUUACUGGGGGCCAGAAGACCAUGAUUCCAAGUGUCUGAGAUGUCCCCAGUGAGCCUGCCUCAGGGUACGCAUUCCCUUUGUUGUUCCCUCCCACAGUGCAUUCAACCUUUGUGACCAACAGACUCUGUGGAGAUGGUGCAGCUGUGACUGCUGAGAUUGCUCAACAGCUGUGUUCAUGUUAGUCUCUUGGAUGACUUGCCCAGGGAGACAUCAGCCACCAUGUCAGGAGGACACUCAAGCAGUGCACGAAGAGGAACUGAGGCCUCUAGCUGACAGCCAGAACCAACCUGCCAGCUGUGAGAAGGAGCCACUCUGGAAAUGGACUUUCCAUUCUCUACCCCCAAGGUCAAGCCCUCAGGGUCUGCCAUCUUGGCCAACAACGUAGCUUCCACCCCAUGAGAGACCCUGAGUCAGGACCUGUGGGGGAUCAAAAGUGACUGCCAUUGUUUUGGACCACUAGUUUGUUAGGCAACAGUAGAGGAUAGCAUAGGCCCCUUCUGCCAGUUUUCUCUUUUCCGGCCUUCUUUAUUUUGGUUCGGUUGGCUGGCCUUAGCCUUGUGUCCACACACCUGAGCAACCAGGAUGAGGGUAAGGUGAGGCAGGCACCCAGGCUUCCUUCAGUUUUAUGCCCUGGCUGCCUGAGCUUCUCACCCUCGUCUGGCCCUGUAUCUGACUUCUGCACAAUCCCAUAAAAGGCCAGUCCUGGUGACCUUGCCCUUGACCUAGCUGCCUGACUCUACUGCUGGUCCCUGUGCACCUGCCUUACUUCCUGUGGAGAAACCUGCAGGUUUUAUGGUUUAUUAGAGCUGAGGGUAAACCCCUGCUGUCCAUUAAGAAAGUAGGUGGAGAAACGGAGGGGUUGGCCACCACCAGUUGAGGACGCCCCACAUGGACCUCACCGUGGCCCUUGCACCAGCCCUGAGGUGAGUGGAGAGGGCUUUGGCUGGGAAGAGUGGGUGGUUGGUAGCACCUUGACCUUAGAGGGGAAACAGGCCUCUGUGCAGCCCCAGAGUGGGCCAGGAAAGGAUGGCCUUCCUCGGGGUAGGGAAGGGAAGCCCCCCUGGAGCCUGGCUGGGACAUUCUUCUGAAGGAACAGAAGAAAAAUCACACUAGUAACACAUCAAGUGACUCCUGCACAUGCUUCCUCUCAUUCAAUUCUCCUGACAGCCAAACCCACCUGUUUCUGGUCCUCAAAAUAAGCUGAGUCCCUCACCCCCAAUUCCUCAAAUCUGCAAAGCUCUGAGAACCAAAAGAUUUUUGAGGACAGAACUGAGGUGCGGUUAUAUUUGGUCUUCAUCAUCCCAUUGACUGUAAAUAUCAGAAUGCUUCCCUACAGAAAGAUCAACGUGUUUGUUUGCAGGGUGCCCCCCCAGAACCCACUGGGUGUUGGGUCAUGCACCAGGUAACUUUUCUAAAAUCUAACAUUUCUGACUUUUGAAACAUCUGGUCCGAAGAUAAAGCACAGCGGCCCUGAAUUAUUUCCAUUUUUACCUACGAGGAAAACUGAGUUUCCUUGAAGAACAAACCUAGCCCAGAACCAGGAAGCUUCCAGGGCAGGUGCAGAUUUGAACUCAGGGCUCUCAGCCAGCACAUCCCACUCUCUCAACCCAGGAAUGAGCCCUGGGCUCCUUACAUGCCUGUGAAUUCACAAGUUUAGUGAGACAGUGUUUGCUCCCUGCACGGUGACAGUCUGUCCCAUCCUCUUGUCCUAAGGAGCGUGAUGGCCCCGGGCCUGAGACUGCCAUCCACUCCUCGACCCACCAAUCUCGAGGCCCAUUAGAUCUGGCACUCUGAGAUCUUCAUGGAGCCCGUUCAGUCGUUUUUGUAAUGAACUUCAAAAAGCUUUCUGUGUUUGGGGUAUUUAUUGUUCCUGGACCCAGUGGCAAGCGGAGAUUUAUCCUCAGAAAGCCUGGGGUUUAAUGAAGCUUUUUGUAGUACAAAUAUGUUCAUGUGACUGAAAUAGAAUAAGCUCUUGGGCAUUUCUUCUCAUUGUCCCCUUUUGUGUCAUCUCUCCCUCACUCCAAACCCUUGCUUAUCCUCUGGCCCUGCCAGAACUUCCCUCUGAUCCUAUUCUCCUUCAGUAAUUAACUCAUCCAACAAGCACUCAGUGAGUCCCUGUGGCUGCAGACAAUGUGGUAGAAGAGGUUUUAUGGCUUAUUAGAAGAGCACUGGUCGGACAGACAAAAGAUCGAGGUCCUGGUGCUGUAAGCAUUUAGACAGGGCCCUUCUCUGCUCUGGACCUCCGCUUAACCAUGUGUGAAGUAAGAAGAUAAUUGAGAGGGUGAAAAACACAUCAAUCACAAAGUGCAGAAACUUCAAAGAUUCAACAAUAAAGGAGUAUGG
rnacentral:lncRNA from 1 species